rnacentral:rRNA from 1 species
CCUACGGGAGGCUGCAGUGAGGAAUAUUGGUCAAUGGGCUUACGCCUGAACCAGCCAAGUCGCGUGAGGGAAGACUGCCCUAUGGGUUGUAAACCUCUUUUGUCAGGGAGCAACGCCGGCUACGUGUAGCCUGACUGAGAGUACCUGAAGAAAAAGCAUCGGCUAACUCCGUGCCAGCAGCCGCGGUAAUACGGGGGAUGCGAGCGUUAUCCGGAUUUAUUGGGUUUAAAGGGUGCGUAGGCGGAAUGCCAAGUCAGCGGUAAAAUCGCGGGGCUCAACCUCGCUCUGCCGUUGAAACUGGCGUUCUUGAGUGGGCGGGAAGUAUGCGGAAUGCGUGGUGUAGCGGUGAAAUGCAGAGAUAUCACGAAGAACUCCGAUUGCGAAGGCAGCAUACCGGCGCUCAACUGACGCUGAAGCACGAAAGCGUGGGUAUCGAACAGGAUUAGAUACCCCAGUAGUC